rnacentral:rRNA from 1 species
UACGAGGGGGGCGAGCGUUGUUCGGAAUUAUUGGGCGUAAAGGGCGCGUAGGCGGUGCGGUAAGUCACCUGUGAAACCCCCGGGCUCAACUCGGGGCCUGCAGGCGAAACUGCCGUGCUGGAGCGCGGAAGAGGGGAGUGGAAUUCCUAGUGUAGAGGUGAAAUUCGUAGAUAUUAGGAAGAACACCAGUGGCGAAGGCGGCUCACUGGUCCGGUACUGACGCUGAGGUGCGAAAGCGUGGGGAGCAAACAGG